rnacentral:rRNA from 1 species
GGUUCAGGACGAACGGCUGGCGGCGUGCCUAAUACAUGCAAGUCGAACGGUCUUUCUAUGGAAGCUUGCUUCCACUGAGAAGAUAGUGGCGAACGGGUGAGUAACACGUGGGUAACCUGCCCAUAAGAGGGGGGAUAACAUCCGGAAACGGGUGCUAAUACCGCAUAGUUUUCUUGAUUGCAUGAUUGAGAAAGGAAAGACGGCCUUUGUGCUGUCGCUUAUGGAUGGACCCGCGGCGUAUUAGUUAGUUGGUGAGGUAACGGCUCACCAAGACGAUGAUACGUAGCCGACCUGAGAGGGUGAUCGGCCACAUUGGGACUGAGACACGGCCCAAACUCCUACGGGAGGCAGCAGUAGGGAAUCUUCCGCAAUGGACGAAAGUCUGACGGAGCAACGCCGCGUGAGUGAAGAAAAGGGUUUUCGGAUCGUAAAACUCUGUUGUCAGAGAAGAACAAGUUGGAGAGUAACUGCUCCAGCCUUGACGGUAUCUGACCAGAAAGCCACGGCUAACUACGUGCCAGCAGCGGC